UUAAAAUAAAUGUAGCUUAAUUUCACCAGAAAGACAAGUGAGAACAAAGCACUUUGUUUGCAAUGAAAUAUAAUUUUAAAACAAUUUCUAUGCACUUUUAUUUAGCACAAGAGAGAUACAGGAUCUGGUCUGGUUGGUAACAAAAAGCAAAAAUCUACUAAAUUGUCAGUGACAGAAUGGCCUGAAGAUGAAACCAGCAGUAGCAUUGACAAGGAAACGACAUCAACACCUCCCCAACCAUGUCCAUCAACUACUCUUCCAGGAGAUAUCCCCUAAACAUCAACACCAACAGAGACCCAAGCAACACCCACUGCCCUUGGAGAAGCCCUGACACCUUUGGGGCAAACACCACUUUCCAGCACAAGUGUUCGCACUCCGAGUCCAUGGAUGAUGAAUAAAGUAUAACUGAUGGGACAGAGAAGGAAAACUGAACUUGGAGACAACAAUGUGAGGGUUGUUCCAACAAUUCCAGAAUGCAAUGAGCCAAAGUUCAAUGUACUUUAUAGUUUGCUUUUUAGGGUGUUUUCUCUUUUCUGCUUCAAUUGUAAAGAGGAAAAGCCCAAGGUGUGGAUGAGGGAAUGGAACGAUGGUCAUCGUUACACAACAGUGUACACAUGGCACUGUCAGCUUUGUCUGGUAAUCUCAGCCAUUUGUCUUGGAGCGACAUCCAGCUGGUAACAUCAUGCUAAGUUUUGCUGUGCUGAAGGCUGGAGAAUCAAUCAGCAAAGUUUUGUUGAUAUUUCCAAAUAGGGGUCUUGCUGUGUAUUCUGCUCGUCCAUUCUUUGCUCACCAGAAACAACUUCUAUUCCCAUCUGUAUUUCACUACUGGCAGACAGACAGAAAAAGUCUUGUGGACAAUGUGAAGGGGAUGAGUCGAGUGGUAUGGUCUGGAGAUGGCCAUUUCAUUUCCAUGGGACACUCGGCAAAAUAUGAUGUUUACACCAGGUAUUGUCAUCCAUCAAUGAAACUGUACAUUUUGAACUUGUUCAGGUGAGUUUCCUGCUACUUGUGGAGUUAAAGUCAACCAGUAGAUACCAAAACACACUAUUUUUGGUUUAUUUGUAACCACAGACCCUGUAAUAAAAGCCCAUCUAAAAAAAAUUCAUUUUUAAAUACCCAAAUCCCAGCUGACUGCAAUAUUCAGUUUCAUAAUAUGAUUUUCAUUUGAUCAAAUCAGUGCUAUAAUGCCCCAUUUAUGUGCAACAACAAAUAAUUUAUCAUCUUCUUGAACAUCUCAUCUCAUUAUCUCUAGCUGUUUUAUCCUGUUCUACAGGGUCGCAGGCAAGCUGGAGCCUAUCCCAGCUGACUACGGGCAAAAGGCGGGGUACACCCUGGACAAGUUGCCAGGUCAUCACAGGGCUGACACAUAGACACAGACAACCAUUCACACUCACAUUCACACCUACGGUCAAUUUAGAGUCACCAGUUAACCUAACCUGCAUGUCUUUGGACUGUGGGGGAAACCGGAGCACCUGGAGGAAACCCACGCAGACGUGGGGAGAACAUGCAAACUCCGCACAGAAAGGCCCUCGCCGGCUACGGGGCUCGAUCCCAGGACCUUCUUGCUGUGAGGCGACAGCGCUAACCACUACACCACAAUGCCGCCCCUUCUUGAACAUUUUACAGGCAAAUGAAACUGGUGGCAGUCAACAGACAGAACUGGAAGGAGCAAAAAGGUCUUUUGCAUCACUAACUAAUGAUGAGGUGUCCAUGAGGACAUUUAUAUCAGACCGGCAUCGAGGGCUUGAAAAGUGGAUAAGUGAAGAAUGCAAGGAGACCAAUCAUUUUUAUGAUUUUAUGUGGCGAGAUCAGUCACCAAGAAGCUCCUCCAAGCAAGCAAAGAAAAGAGGUGCCAAAACAUUAGUGAGUGGAUGAAGGGUAUUCGCCGGCACAUGUACUGGUGUGCAACAUCUACAGCACCUGGGUUUGGUGCUCUUAUCAAAGUAAAGUGGCUCACUUUCAUGUAACAUCUUGCAAACAAACACAACAAUCACCCUGAUCCCCUGUUUAAGAACUGUAAUCAUGGAGCUUCAACCAAGGAAAUGGAUUAAAACUGCUGUUUUUAUUCUAUUUUAACCCUCGUUUCUUCUUGUAAAACCAGUUUCCCAUAAUUUACAGGGUUCCUUAGCUGUUUUUAGUCCACACCAGGAACCCCUUUUUAUUCAUGAGCACAUUUGUGGAGCUUUUUUCCCUCAGGAACACCUGCUUAUGGCAAACUGAAGAGCAAAUUAACAAAAACGACUCUCCUCAGUGAUAUUGAGAAACUUUCACCUGAUGCACAGACAAGCUGCAUUGAGGGCUUUCAUGCCACCCUUAAUCACUGGCACCCAAAGAUGAUUGGCUUUUCAUGAUAAGGGACAUUUUGCAGGUCCAGUAUGUAUAAUUUACUGAAUUAAGAACUGAGAUUGGUAUCUCGACAUACAAUACCUAUACUUUUAGAUCAUGAAAAUCUCAGAAUUACAUUUCUAUUAUCUUUUAAUAAUCAACUUUUUAGACACGUGCUUGUAAGUCUCCGUUUUAUUGAAAAUGUGCACCAGGAUUGUAAGUUAUCUAAACAGGGGACAAAGUACUUCAGAGUGAUGUUUCCCAAAUCUUAACCUGGAGAGGAAGUGGUUCGAGAAGUGCCUGUACCACCUAUUUAUAGUAAGAAUCAACUUGUUAUCCAAUAAACAGAUGUGUGUUCAGUAGUAAA